GACGAACGCUGGCGGCGUGCUUAACACACGCAAGUCGAACGGAAAGGCCCUGCUUUUGUGGGGUGCUCGAUUGGCGAACGGGUGAGUAACACGUGAGUAACCUGCCCUUGACUUUGGGAUAACUUCAGGAAACUGGGGCGAAUACCGGAUAGGAGCUCCUGCUGCAUGGGGGGGGUUGGAAAGUUUCGGCGGUUGGGGAUGGACUCGCGGCUUAUGAGCUUGUUGGUGGGGUAGUGGCGUACGAAGGCUUUGACGGGUAGCCGGCCUGAGAGGGUUACCGGCGACCGUGGGACUGCGAGACGCACCAGACGCCAAUGGGACGCAGCAGGGGGGAAUCUUGCACAACGGGCGGAAGCGUGAUGCAGCAACGCCGCGUGCGGGAUACCGGGCUACGGGGGGAAAACCGCUUUCGCCGGUGACGAAGAGGGAGUGACGGUAACGGGUAAAGAAGCAACGGCUAACUACGUG
rnacentral:rRNA from 1 species